rnacentral:rRNA from 1 species
CCUACGGGAGGCAGCAGUGGGGAAUUUUGGACAAUGGGCGCAAGCCUGAUCCAGCAAUGCCGCGUGAGUGAAGAAGGCCUUCGGGUUGUAAAGCUCUUUUGUCAGGGAAGAAAAGGCUACGGAUAAUACCUGUGGCUCAUGACGGUACCUGAAGAAUAAGCACCGGCUAACUACGUGCCAGCAGCCGCGGUAAUACGUAGGGUGCAAGCGUUAAUCGGAAUUACUGGGCGUAAAGCGUGCGCAGGCGGUUUUGUAAGACUGUCGUGAAAUCCCCGGGCUCAACCUGGGAAUGGCGAUGGUGACUGCAAGGCUAGAGUUUGGCAGAGGGGGGUAGAAUUCCACGUGUAGCAGUGAAAUGCGUAGAUAUGUGGAGGAACACCGAUGGCGAAGGCAGCCCCCUGGGUCAAAACUGACGCUCAUGCACGAAAGCGUGGGGAGCAAACAGGAUUAGAUACCCUGGUAGUCCACGCCCUAAACGAUGUCUACUAGUUGUCGGGUCUUAAUUGACUUGGUAACGCAGCUAACGCGUGAAGUAGACCGCCUGGGGAGUACGGUCGCGAAGNUUAAAACGUCAAAUUGAAUUGACCGG